rnacentral:rRNA from 1 species
GAUGAACGCUAGCUACAGGCUUAACACAUGCAAGUCGAGGGACCGGCGCACGGGUGAGUCACACGUAUCCAACCUGCCCUUUACUCGGGGAUCGCCUUUCGAAAGACAGAUUAAUACCCGAUGUAAAGGAUGGGGAUGCGUUCCAUUAGGUUGUUGGUGAGGUAACGGCUCACCAAGCCUUCGAUGGUGAGGGGUUCGGAGGGGAAGGUCCCCCACAUUGGAACGGAGGCACGGUGGAACAUCCUACGGGAGGCGGCAGUGGGGAAUAUUGGUCAAUGUGAGUUAGCCUGAACCAGCCAAGUAGCGUGAAGGAGGAAGGCUUAUGGGUCGUAAACUUCUUUUAUAUAAGAAUAGGUAUUAUAUGAAUAAGCAUCGGCUAACUCCGUGCCAGCAGCCGCGGUAAUAC